rnacentral:rRNA from 1 species
UAGGGAAUCUUCCGCAAUGGACGAAAGUCUGACGGAGCAACGCCGCGUGAGUGAAGAAGGAUUUCGGUUCGUAAAACUCUGUUGUUAGGGAAGAAAAAAUGUAUAGUAACUUUAUACAAAAGAGACGGUACCUAACCAGAAAGCCACGGCUAACUACGUGCCAGCAGCCGCGGUAAUACGUAGGUGGCAAGCGUUGUCCGGAAUUAUUGGGCGUAAAGCGCGCGCAGGUGGUUUAGAAAGUCUGAUGUGAAAGCCCACGGCUCAACCGUGGAGGGUCAUUGGAAACUAAUAAACUUGAGUGCAGGAGAGAAAAGUGGAAUUGCUAGUGUAGCGGUGAAAUGCGUAGAGAUUAGGAGGAACACCGGUGGCGAAAGCGGCUUUUUGGCCUGCAACUGACACUGAGGCGGGAAAGCGUGGGGAGCAAACAGG